rnacentral:rRNA from 1 species
UACGGGGGGGGCAAGCGUUGUUCGGAAUUACUGGGCGUAAAGGGCUCGUAGGUGGCCAACUAAGUCAGACGUGAAAUCCCUCGGCUUAACCGGGGAACUGCGUCUGAUACUGGAUGGCUUGAGUUCGGGAGAGGGAUGCGGAAUUCCAGGUGUAGCGGUGAAAUGCGUAGAUAUCUGGAGGAACACCGGUGGCGAAGGCGGCAUCCUGGACCGACACUGACACUGAGAAGCGAAAGCCAGGGGAGCAAACGGG